rnacentral:rRNA from 1 species
UACGUAGGGUGCGAGCGUUGUCCGGAAUUAUUGGGCGUAAGGAGCUCGUAGGCGGUGUGUCGCGUCGGUCGUGAAAACUUGGGGCUUAACCCUGAGCUUGCGGUCGAUACGGGCAUCACUGGAGUUCGGCAGGGGAGACUGGAAUUCCUGGUGUAGCGGUGAAAUGCGCAGAUAUCAGGAAGAACACCCGUGGCGAAGGCGGCUCUCUGGAACGCAACUGACGCUGAGACGCGAAAGCGUGGGGAGCAAACAGG